UGCGAAUGGCUCAUUAAAUCAGUUAUCGUUUAUUUGAUAGUACCUUACUACUUGGAUAACCGUGGUAAUUCUAGAGCUAAUACAUGCUGAAAACCCCGACUUCGGGAGGGGUGUAUUUAUUAGAUAAAAAACCAAUGCCCUUCGGGGCUCCUUGGUGAUUCAUGAUAACUUCUCAGAUCGCAUGGCCUUGCGCCGGCGACGGUUCAUUCAAAUUUCUGCCCUAUCAACUUUCGAUGGUAAGGUAUUGGCUUACCAUGGUUUCAACGGGUAACGGGGAAUUAGGGUUCGAUUCCGGAGAAGGGGCCUGAGAGACGGCCACUACAUCCAAGGAAGGCAGCAGGCGCGCAAAUUACCCAAUCCCGACACGGGGAGGUAGUGACAAUAAAUACUGAUACAGGGCUCUUUUGGGUCUUGUAAUUGGAAUGAGUACAAUUUAAACCUCUUAACGAGGAACAAUUGGAGGGCAAGUCUGGUGCCAGCAGCCGCGGUAAUUCCAGCUCCAAUAGCGUAUAUUAAAGUUGUUGCAGUUAAAAAGCUCGUAGUUGAACCUUUGGCCUGGCUGGCAGGUCCGCCUCACCGCGUGUACUUGUCCGGCCGGGCCUUUUCUUCUGGAGAACCGCAUGCCCUUCACUGGGUGUGUUGGGGACCAGGACUUUUACUUUGAAAAAAUUAGAGUGUUCAAAGCAGGCCUUUGCUCGAAUACGUUAGCAUGGAAUAAUAGAAUAGGACGUGCGGUUCUAUUUUGUUGGUUUCUAGGACCGCCGUAAUGAUUAAUAGGGACAGUCGGGGCAUCAGUAUUCAAUUGUCAGAGGUGAAAUUCUUGGAUUUAUUGAAGACUAACUACUGCGAAAGCAUUUGCCAAGGAUGUUUUCAUUAAUCAGUGAACGAAAGUUAGGGGAUCGAAGACGAUCAGAUACCGUCGUAGUCUUAACCAUAAACUAUGCCGACUAGGGAUCGGGCGGUGUUUCAAUAUUGACUCGCUCGGCACCUUACGAGAAAUCAAAGUG
rnacentral:rRNA from 1 species